rnacentral:rRNA from 1 species
AUGGGUUCUUUUAUCCAUCCAUCGUAUGAUCAAUUGCAUCGUGGACGGUUCAUGGCAGAUGAAGGAAGGGUUUUUGACCAGCUUCACCUGAGGUCCGGUUCGGUUCAUGACAAGAUGGAGUAUGACGAGCGAUACACGGAGUAUAUUCGGAAGAUGGGGCUUCUCCCUUUCAUCUCACUCGUGUCUCGUUCGAUGCGGAAGAUGAACCCGUGUGCGAUCACAUCACUCGUUGACCGAUGGCGCCCUGAGACACAUACUUUUCACUUCUAUGCUGGGGAGAUGACGGUCACUUUGCAGGAUGUUUCUCUGAUCACUGGACUUCCCAUCAAAGGAGAGCCUAUUUGUUUUAGCACAGAAUCUGAUGGAUGGCGUGAUAUUAUGGUUGGAUUCAUAGGGAGGGAGCCAGGGGUACAAGGGAAGUCCGCCGGUGUGAAUCCGCCUUCCUUACUUGGUAUUCCAUCCAAUCGUUGA